AUUGAACGCUGGCGGCAUGCCUUACACAUGCAAGUCGAACGGCAGCGCGGGGCAACCUGGCGGCGAGUGGCGAACGGGUGAGUAGCAUAUCGGAACAUACCCUAGAGUGGGGAUAACGUAGCGAAAGCUACGCUAAUACCGCAUACGAUCUAUGGAUGAAAGCGGGGGAUCGCAAGACCUCGCGCGAUUGGAGCGGCCGAUAUCAGAUUAGGUAGUUGGUGGGGUAAAGGCCCACCAAGCCGACGAUCUGUAGCUGGUCUGAGAGGACGACCAGCCACACUGGGACUGAGACACGGCCCAGACUCCUACGGGAGGCAGCAGUGGGGAAUUUUGGACAAUGGGGGCAACCCUGAUCCAGCAAUGCCGCGUGAGUGAAGAAGGCCUCGGUUGUAAGACUCUUUGUCUAGGGAAGAAACGGUAGAGUCUAAUAAAGACUUGCUAAUAGACGGUACCUGAAGAAUAAGACACCGGCUAACU
rnacentral:rRNA from 1 species